rnacentral:rRNA from 2 species
UACGAAGGUGGCAAGCGUUACUCGGAAUUACUAGGCGUAAAGGGCAGGUAGGCGGUUUGAUAAGUCUGUUGUGUCAGCUCCUGGCUUAACUGGGAGAGGUCAACGGAAACUAUCAGGCUUGAGUGUAGGAGAGGAUACUGGAAUUCCUGGUGUAGCGGUGAAAUGCGCAGAUAUCAGGAGGAACACCAAUGGCGAAAGCAAGUAUCUGGACUAUUACUGACGCUAAGCUGCGAAAGCUAGGGGAGCAAACAGG